UUGCGGCCAUAUCACGUUGAAACACCGGUUCUCGUACGAUCACGAAAGUUAAGCAACAUCGAGUCUGGUCACUAACUAGAUAGGUAACCAUUUGUGAAUAACAGGUGCUGUAAG